UUUACAAUUAGUUUUGCUGGAGUUUUGCAGUUAAAUCAAUUAAAGGGGCACUAUAGGCACCAGAGUCAGUAAAUCUUAAUGUAGUAGUUCUGGGACUAAUAGUCUGUCCCGGCAGCCUCAGCAAUUUAAAGGAAAGGCAGUGUUUACAAUGCAACAUAAGGCCACUUCUACUGACAGUCACUAAAGCAGGGGUAGGGAACCAGCGCCACUCCAGAUGAACUACAUCUC